rnacentral:rRNA from 1 species
AACAGUUGGAAACGACUGCUAAUACCGCAUAAACUACCGGAAGGUAGGAAAGGUGGCCUCUUAACAAAGCUGCCGCUUAUGGAUGAGCCCGCGUCUGAUUAGCUAGUUGGUGGGGUAAAGGCCUACCAAGGCGACGAUCAGUAGCCGGCCUGAGAGGGUGAACGGCCACACUGGGACUGAGACACGGCCCAGACUCCUACGGGAGGCAGCAGUGGGGAAUAUUGCGCAAUGGGGGAAACCCUGACGCAGCGACGCCGCGUGAGCGAAGAAGGCCUUAGGGUUGUAAAGCUCUGUUUUAGGGGACGAAUGUUCAUGGGAGAAAUAUGCCCGUGAAAUGACGGUACCUUAAGAGGAAGCCCCGGCUAACUACGUGCCAGCAGCCGCGGUAAGACGUAGGGGGCGAGCGUUGUUCGGAAUUACUGGGCGUAAAGAGCACGUAGGCGGGAACUUAAGUCAGGUGUGAAAGACCGUGGCUCAACCACGGGGUGGCAUUUGAAACUGGGUUUCUUGAGGGCAGGAGAGGAAAGCAGAAUUCCUGGUGUAGCGGUGAAAUGCGUAGAAAUCAGGAGGAAUACCAGUGGCGAAGGCGGCUUUCUGGACUGACCCUGACGCUGAGGUGCGAAAGCGUGGGUAGCAAACAGGAUUAGAUACCCUGGUAGUCCACGCCGUAAACGAUG